rnacentral:rRNA from 1 species
UACGGGGGGGGCAAGCGUUGUUCGGAAUUACUGGGCGUAAAGGGUUAGUAGGUGGCCAACUAAGUCAGACGUGAAAUCCCUCAGCUUAACUGGGGAACUGCGUCUGAGACUGAUUGGCUCGAGGACAGGAGAGGAACGCGGAAUUCCAGGUGUAGCGGUGAAAUGCGUAGAUAUCUGGAGGAACACCGGUGGCGAAGGCGGCGUUCUGGACUGUUUCUGACACUGAAUAACGAAAGCCAGGGAGCAAACGGG